rnacentral:rRNA from 1 species
UCCAGACUCCUACGGGAGGCAGCAGUGAGGAAUAUUGGUCAAUGGCCGAGAGGCUGAACCAGCCAAGUCGCGUGAGGGAAGACGGCCCUACGGGUUGUAAACCUCUUUUGCCGGGGAGCAAAAAGCGGUACGUGUACCGCAUCGAGAGUACCCGGAGAAAAAGCAUCGGCUAACUCCGUGCCAGCAGCCGCGGUAAUACGGAGGAUGCGAGCGUUAUCCGGAUUUAUUGGGUUUAAAGGGUGCGCAGGCGGAUUUUUAAGUCAGCGGUCAAAUCGUGGGGCUCAACCCCAUCCAGCCGUUGAAACUGGGGAUCUAGAGUGUGCGAGAGGUAUGCGGAAUGCGUGGUGUAGCGGUGAAAUGCAUAGAUAUCACGCAGAACUCCGAUUGCGAAGGCAGCAUACCGGCGCCCGACUGACGCUGAAGCACGAAAGCGCGGGUAUCGAACAGGAUUAGAUACCCGUGUA